rnacentral:rRNA from 1 species
CACGUAGGCGGAUCUUUAAGUCAGGGGUGAAAUCCCGAGGCUCAACCUCGGAACUGCCUUUGAUACUGGAGAUCUCGAGUUCGGGAGAGGUGAGUGGAACUGCGAGUGUAGAGGUGAAAUUCGUAGAUAUUCGCAAGAACACCAGUGGCGAAGGCGGCUCACUGGCCCGAUACUGACGCUGAGGUGCGAAAGCGUGGGAGCAAACA